UACGAACUGUGCAAACGUUAUUCGGAAUCACUGGGCUUACAGGGUGCGUAGGCGGCUUGUUAAGCAGGGUGUGAAAUCCCUCGGCUCAACCGAGGAAUUGCGCCCUGAACUGGCGAGCUGGAGUGGGACAGAGGUGUACGGAACUUCCGGUGGAGCGGUGAAAUGUGUUGAUAUCGGAAGGAACGCCAGAGGCGAAAGCGGUACACUGGGUCUCAACUGACGCUGAGGCACGAAAGCCAGGGGAGCGAACGGG
rnacentral:rRNA from 2 species